ACAAAGCCAACACCAAGAACAAGCUACCGUGAGCUUGGAGAAAAAGAAAGGCAGCAUCGGGUGAGCUAGGAAAAGAGAGAAAAAAAAAGGAAAGGGAAUCAUUGGGGUUAUUCAUCCAACCUUGCUUGCAACCAACCAAGGGAACUUUGUUGGAGAGUUGGAGCUCAAGGAUACAUCUCCUCAAAGAAUCGGCCAGCUAGGGGGUAUGAUUAAGGAUUUGAGGUAAACCAAUUUCCUAACUCUUGAUUCUUGUGGUAAAACAUAUGAUUGAUGAUUGGAAGUUGAAUCUAACUAGCUAGGAACUGAUUUGAACGGCUGGAAAUUCGUUUGAUUGGGUGGAAUUUAAAUGAACUUCAAGUGUUCCUUUUCUGUCAAGAUUUCUAUCCGAAAUUAGUCUGAAAAUUCGAACCUGUUGGGAGCUGAUUUGGCCUUAGUACGAAACAUAAAAGUUGUAGGGAAUGAUGUUUUAUAGUUUUCUGUAAAAUUUCAGCUCAAUCGGAGCAACGUAUCCUGUAAAAAGACCAAAAUACCCCUACUUCCCUGUAUUUAUCCGAAACUGAUAAUCAGCUUCUGUAAUUGGAUGUUUUGACCAGGAAUACUACUGAUUUGGUUGUUGAUGUCUUUUUAAGACUUAUAGCCUUGUGUCUUAGCUUUUUAAUGGCUUUGGAAUUACCUGAAUUGGAGUUGUGUGUGCUGAGAUAUGAGUGAAUAAAGCAGGACUGCUAGUUGAUUUCUGCAGUGAAUUUCAAACUAGAAAAUCUGGAGUUGUUUUUGGUAAAUUUGACCUAGUUAGGGUGAGAACUGGACUGAGUGGUCUGCACGAAAGUUGUAGGUCUUUGUCUUAGCUUUUCAACGCCUCCAAGAACGCCUUAAACGGACUUUGGUAGCCUGCGAUAUGGCCAUUUAAAGGUAGUACGGUUAAUUAGCCGAUUAGUUGGAACUUGGUUCUGGGAAUUGGGAAUUUGACUAGGUUACACUGGAAUUUGGACUAAGUGGUCUUCAUCAAAAUUGUAUCCCUCUGUCUUAGCUUCGAAACGGUAUAAAUUACAUUCCAAUCCGGUAAGCGUAGCGUCGGAUGUGUCCGUUACGCAAAACCCGUCAAAUCUGUCUUUUGUUAAGUUUCAUUUCCGCAUUUGUUAUUAGCUCGAUUUCUAUACUUCUAUUGUUUUGAGCCUAUGGAAUGGCUAUUGAAAUGAAUUUGUGUUGUGGGUAAUCUUGGUUCGAUUGAGAAAAAGAAUGAAGCCAUAAAUGGCUGGAAAUAGGAAAAUACAAAGGGCGUGCUGCCCAAAUUUUCGCUCGAGGGCUAAGUUUUUAUUUGAACUGGUAUAUUUUUGUUUGGCAAAUACUAUAACCGUUUUUCCAUCUUAAAACAUGAUCAUUCUUCAAUUGGAAACUCCAAAUGUUUACUUACUCUUACCAAAUAAAGAGGAAUGGUUUAGGGUUUUCUUGAGUAUUUUUGUCCUCCCUCUUUUUCAUGAAGUCUAUAAUAUCUACUUGAAUAUGAAAUGAUUUUGAACCAUAUAAACGAUUUCAAAAACAGUAUUUCUUAGCCUAUCUAGUUGGAUUCCGACUUGUCUUUGGUUCAAGUGUUUACAUUAGAAAAUUUUAUAGCCCUUUUGAGUUUGGUUUUACGUUUGGUCUAUGAAACCCUAGUUAUUUUAUCCACGGGUCCAAAUGUCCUCGUUUCACUUUAAAGUCUUUUUAUACAUUCUACUCAUCAUUUGUAAAGUUCUUUGAUUUCACCUAAUUGUUUGUGCUAGAUGAGCUGUAAUAUUCUUUCUCAUUUAAUCUUAGGUUUUCUCGGUGACUAAGGAUAUUUGGCACGUUGUUUUGCGUACAUAGGUGAGUGUUCCUUGUUUGUUAUAUUUCCUUGACUUAUUGGCUUGUUAUUAUUGAUUGAUAAUGUGUUAAGUGCUUUCAAUGAUUGUUAAAACGAGUUUUCUAGGCGAGUGUGUACUUUAUCGCACUCGACCUAAAUAAAUGUGAAAUUUUCAAUGAUUAAAUGAUUAAAUGCUAGUUGCGCAUGAAUGUAAGCCGUUUGGCUGAACUGGGCCCUGCCCUUCGUUACCGAUCGACUCGAGUCAGAAGCGGACUUGGUCGAGCUAUAUGGUGACGUUGGGUGUGAACGUUGGUAUACUCGAGUAUUACCUUAUAGGUUGGUGGAGCCUGGCCAAAGGCCAGGAAAGGGGUGAAUGAAACUUCAAGAACGAACGAGGGUUUUACUUACAAAAAUGCAAUCUUCGAAAGAAUGAAGGAAUAAGGGGAAAUGUCAGGAGAACGAACGAAUUUAUGGCUCCCAGUGAGCCCGUAUCCAUUUAAUGUAUGUGUUAUUAUCGCUUUCCAUUUUAAAUGUUUCUUGAAUUAUUAAUAUUCUAUGUUUAAUGUAUGGAUUGGUUAUUUGAUUAUGUGUUCGGAACCUCACUAGGCUUUUAGAUCAUCCCUUUAGUUUGUUUUCCUUAACAGGGGAAGGCACGCAAGGAUGAGAGCUUGGUAUAGACUAGCUUGGUCUAACUCUUUGUUUUUGUAAUGGUUCUCGCCCUAAUGCUUGGCACGGGCUGGUUGUAUGAAGAAUUGAGAACCUUUAUAUAUUCGAUGAUUGUACUCC
rnacentral:lncRNA from 1 species